CAACAGGGAUUGCCCCAGUAACGGCGAGUGAAGCGGCAACAGCUCAAAUUUGAAAUCUGGCCCCCGGGCCCGAGUUGUAAUUUGUAGAGGAUGCUUUUGGUGAGGUGCCUUCCGAGUUCCCUGGAACGGGACGCCAUAGAGGGUGAGAGCCCCGUCUGGUUGGACACCGAGCCUCUGUAAAGCUCCUUCGACGAGUCGAGUAGUUUGGGAAUGCUGCUCUAAAUGGGAGGUAUAUGUCUUCUAAAGCUAAAUAUUGGCCAGAGACCGAUAGCGCACAAGUAGAGUGAUCGAAAGAUGAAAAGCACUUUGAAAAGAGAGUUAAAAAGUACGUGAAAUUGUUGAAAGGGAAGCGCUCAUGACCAGACUUGGGCUUGGUUGAUCAUCUAGGGUUCUCCCUAGUGCACUCCUCCAGCCCAGGCCAGCAUCAGUUUGCCCCGGGGGACAAAGGCGUCGGGAAUGUGGCUCCCUCCGGGGAGUGUUAUAGCCCGUCGUGUAAUACCCUGGGGCGGACUGAGGUUCGCGCAUCUGCAAGGAU
rnacentral:rRNA from 1 species